GCCAAGGUGGCCGAGUGGUCUAAGGCGCUGUGCUUAAGAAAGCUAAGCUUACUCCCAGUAACAUGGGUCCACAGUAUCGAGAGAUUCUUGGGUUCGAACCCCAAUCUUGGCA
rnacentral:tRNA from 4 species